AACGAGGCCGACCUGCGGCUGAGUUACCUGCGGAGGGAUCAUUAUUGAAUAAACUUGGUUGGGCUGUUGCUGGCUCCUUGGAGCAUGUGCACGCCUAGCACCAAUUUUUACCACCUGUGCACCUUUGUGGACCUGGAUACCUCUCGAGGAAACUCGGUUGGAGGACUGCUGUGCGAAAGCCAGCUUUCCUUACAUUUCCGGUUCAUGUUUUCACAUACCCCAUACGAAUGUAACAGAAUG
rnacentral:misc_RNA from 1 species